UGACAAUGGCCUGUCACCACUCCCCU
rnacentral:piRNA from 1 species